rnacentral:rRNA from 1 species
GAUGAACGCUAGCGACAGGCUUAACACAUGCAAGUCGAGGGGCAGCACAGGUAGCAAUACCGGGUGGCGACCGGCGCACGGGUGAGUAACGCGUAUGCAACUUACCUAUCAGAGGGGGAUAACCCGGCGAAAGUCGGACUAAUACCGCAUGAAGCAGGGGUCCCGCAUGGGGAUAUUUGCUAAAGAUUCAUCGCUGAUAGAUAGGCAUGCGUUCCAUUAGGCAGUUGGCGGGGUAACGGCCCACCAAACCGACGAUGGAUAGGGGUUCUGAGAGGAAGGUCCCCCACAUUGGUACUGAGACACGGACCAAACUCCUACGGGAGGCAGCAGUGAGGAAUAUUGGUCAAUGGCCGAGAGGCUGAACCAGCCAAGUCGCGUGAGGGAUGAAGGUUCUAUGGAUCGUAAACCUCUUUUAUAAGGGAAUAAAGUGCGGGACGUGUCCCGUUUUGUAGGUACCUUAUGAAUAAGGAUCGGCUAACUCCGUG